GAGAAAAGCCACCACUUGGGUAAAGACAUCCAGAGGAAGUCAGCGGCCGAGGGUGAACUGGAAGCAGUGAGAGAUCGGCGCUGCCCCUCAGCGCAAGUUCCCGAAAGUUUCUUUUUGGGCCCAUGUUGUGCACAUGGACCUGAGUGGCAAGAGCUCGUGCUACGGAGCUCAACAGAAGCAAAUGGAAACAGGGAGCUGUUCUGAGCAGAAGAGGUACAGAAUCACGUGACCUAAAAGUGAUGACUGCAGGAAUAUAACCAAGAAAAGGGGAAAUAAAUCAGCUACAGAGAAGGCACUGGGCAAAACUUGUAAAGAGUUAUACAGUUCAUCUGAACUUUUACUAAAGUACACAGAACUGUAGUUUCUUCAUUGAUACCUUGGGAUCUCACAGAGCCUGCUGCACAUAAAUAAAACGUACUUGCCUUAAUGAGAGCCUCAUUACUUUUAAUUGUACUUUUAAUUGUAAUGGUUCUUGAAUCUAUGCUUUUGCCUUCUUUGCUAGGAAGGAACACCUUCUCAAAAGAAUUCUUUGUAUUUUAGAAUUACUACUUGUGUCAUGGUAUUCCUUCUGCACUAUCACUUGUAUUCUGAAAGAGAAUCUUCAGUGUUUAAGGUUUUUUAACACUUUGAAUUUCAAAUCCUCUUAGCUGAUUAUACAGCUAAAUUUGCUUAUAGAGCCUUAGUGUACCAUUUCAAACUAUAUCAACUUAAUUUUUUAUAGAUAUAUUUUCUUCAAACAGAAAAAUUUCAGUUGGUGGAUGGCCCUACUUUUAUAUACUACCUGAUAAUCAUGAUCCUGGCUUAAUUUGAUUAAUUCUAUUUGGGAGGUACGGUAAAGAAAGCUUGAGCUAUAGAGUUGAAGGAUUAAAUACUUUCCUUAAUUCAAAAUUAAACAAAAAAGUUUGAUUAACUAACAAAAACUAGACACUAAAAAAUAGAAAUCAUAUUUUGUUUUAUAAUAUACAUAAUAAAAUUAAUAAAAUGUUGGCAAACAACUAAUAUUACCAUGUGAAAAUAAUAAUUCUGUGAGCCAGUCCAAUUAUAUUGAACUUAAAUUGCAAGGUCCACUAUCUCUACUAAAUCCAUUAUCUAUAAAUUCAUCAUCUUUAUUCGUAAAUUUCUGGUUAGUUGCUUCCAUCCAGUACCGUCUGCCUUUGCAUCAAGGCUAUGAAAUAAAGAUAUUAAAAAAAAAUUAUUACUGUAUUUACUUAACAUUUAAAGAUACACAACAGCAACUAAAAUAGAUCAUUCUGUAUCAUUUAUGAAGCUUACCUCUUUGUAGCACUUUUCUACAAUUUCAUAACUGGCAUUACCCCACACUGUUAUGUGUUCUCGUCUGUACUGCUUCACCAACUCUGAAACCUACAUGUGAAAAUUCAAAAUUUUAUGCAUGUGCCUAUUUGUAAAUCCACUUACAUGAUUUCACUUAAACAAUGGAUUACAACUGACUAUCUGCCAGUGCAUACUAUAAAAUUUUGGGAGAACUGAUACACAAAUACAGAUUAUUUUAUAAAGUACAAGAAAUUACAUUUUACCAUUAUAUGAUUUAUUUAAUAGAAGACAACUGUUUAGUAAUUUGCUAUAAACUAAGUACAAGUGAAACAAGUGAAACUAGAAGAAGUUAAUUAGGUAAAUGCCAGAGCGAUGGGUUCACAGAAGCUCACUUUUAUCCAUGCCUGCGACAUGACAAGUCACUCUGAAACAGGCUUUCCUACAGUACAGAGAUGUCUUCUACCAGGGCAGUAUUUGAAACAAUACUGAUCCCUAGAGUAUCACAUUUCCUUGAACAUUAUCAAUCUAUGCAGGCACCUACUCUAGCCUUAUUUAGUUUGGAUGAAAUCGGAUGCAACACACUCAGAGGACACAAUGCCUUAAGUACCUUCUUAAUCAGCAAAUUGUUGUUGACUUUGAUAUCGAUGUUAAUAGGAGUGUUAGGAAAGGCCUCAA